rnacentral:rRNA from 1 species
GACGAACGCUGGCGGCGUGCUUAACACAUGCAAGUCGAACGAAGAGCGAUGGAAGCUUGCUUCUAUCAAUCUUAGUGGCGAACGGGUGAGUAACGCGUAAUCAACCUGCCCUUCAGAGGGGGACAACAGUUGGAAACGACUGCUAAUACCGCAUACGAUCUGACCUCGGCAUCGAGGAUAGAUGAAAGGUGGCCUCUACAUGUAAGCUAUCACUGAAGGAGGGGAUUGCGUCUGAUUAGCUAGUUGGAGGGGUAGCGGCCCACCAAGGCGAUGAUCAGUAGCCGGUCUGAGAGGAUGAACGGCCACAUUGGGACUGAGACACGGCCCAGACUCCUACGGGAGGCAGCAGUGGGGAAUCUUCCGCAAUGGACGAAAGUCUGACGGAGCAACGCCGCGUGAGUGAUGACGGCCUUCGGGUUGUAAAGCUCUGUUAAUCGGGACGAAAGGCCUUUUUGCGAAUAGUGAGAAGGAUUGACGGUACCGGAAUAGAAAGCCACGGCUAACUACGUG